AACGAACGCUGGCGGCAGGCUUAACACAUGCAAGUCGAACGCCCCGCAAGGGGAGUGGCAGACGGGUGAGUAACGCGUGGGAAUCUACCCAUCUCUGCGGAAUAGCUCUGGGAAACUGGAAUUAAUACCGCAUACGCACUACGGGGGAACGAUUUAUCGGGGAUGGAUGAGCCCGCGUUGGAUUAGCGAGUUGGUGGGGUAAAGGCCUACCAAGGCGACGAUCCAUAGCUGGUCUGAGAGGAUGAUCAGCCACAUUGGGACUGAGACACGGCCCAAACUCCUACGGGAGGCAGCAGUGGGGAAUAUUGGACAAUGGGCGCAAGCCUGAUCCAGCCAUGCCGCGUGAGUGAUGAAGGCCUUAGGGUUGUAAAGCUCUUUCACCGAUGAAGAUAAUGACGGUAGUCGGAGAAGAAGCCCCGGCUAACUUCGUGCCAGCCGCCGCCGUAA
rnacentral:rRNA from 1 species